ACAAAAAAAAAUUUCAUAAAGCUUGAAGUAUUUGACCUAGUAUGGCGUGGCUUAAGUUUGGUUCGGUCUUCACUAUUCUUCUCAUGAUUAUCACUAUUGAUGCGAUGUGGUUUUCCAAGAAUGAAGUUAUGGCCGCAAGAAAUGUCGAUCCAAAUCUAUCAGCACCGAAAAGGAGAUUACUUCCACAAUUUAAUGAUAUUUUCACUUGUGGGAGACCUUGUAUUUCUGAUGAUGAUUGCAGAAGUGAUUGUUUGAUUUGCUGCAGCUGUACAUAUGAGCUCUGGGAUCCUACUCUUUACCGGUGUCGCUGAACUAGCUACACACAAAUGUUACAUUUAGUGCCCAAUUGCGAUGAAAUAAGAUCUCUAUUAUGCAUCA